UGCUUCAGUGCUUUUUAUUCUUUGGCAUCC
rnacentral:piRNA from 1 species